rnacentral:rRNA from 1 species
GCUUACGACCACACCGGCCUGAGUACGCCUGAUCUCGUCUGAUCUCGGAAGCUAAGCAGGGUCAGGCCUGGUUAGUACUUGGAUGGGAGACGCCUGGGAAUACCAGGUGCUGUAAGCU